UAAGUACUCCCUCCGUCCCAAAAUUCUUGUCUUAGGUUUUUUCUAAAAAUGAAUGUAUCUAAAUACUAAAACCUAACUAGAUACAUUUAUAUCUAGAUAAAUCUAAAACAAGAAUUUUAAGACAGAGAAAGUAUUUU
rfam:Hordeum vulgare subsp. vulgare, WGS project CAJW01000000 data, contig: morex_contig_74454